rnacentral:rRNA from 1 species
AGUGAACGCUGGCGGUAGGCCUAACACAUGCAAGUCGAACGGCAGCACAGUAAGAGCUUGCUCUUACGGGUGGCGAGUGGCGGACGGGUGAGGAAUACAUCGGAAUCUACUUUUUCGUGGGGGAUAACGUAGGGAAACUUACGCUAAUACCGCAUACGACCUACGGGUGAAAGCAGGGGAUCUUCGGACCUUGCGCGAUUGAAUUAGCCGAUGUCGGACUAGCUAGUUGGCGGGGUAAAGGCCCACCAAGGCGACGAUCCGUAGCUGGUCUGAGAGGAUGAUCAGCCACACGGGAACUGAGACACGGACCAGAGUACUACGGGAGGGAGCAGUGGGGAAUAUUGGACAAUGGGGGCAAGCCUGAUCCAGCAAUACCGCGUGGGUGAAGAAGGCGUUCGGGUUGUAAAGCCCUUUUGUUGGGAAAGAAAAGCAGCAGGUUAAUACCCCGCUGUUCUGACGGUACCCAAAGAAUAAGCACCGGCUAACUUCGUG